UGCCUUGCCUUCGCCCCGCCCCCUACACACAGCCGACUGGCUAGCUGGGUUGGGGGUGGGGCGAAGGCAAGGCC